AGACAUAGAGGGUCUAAAAGGGAAAAUAUCCCUAUACACUAAAACGCAACGUUUUAUUCAGGAUCAAAAUGAGAUAAAAGCAGAACUCUGGGCGAAAAAUUUAAAAGAAAAGAAACAAAUACAAGACCCAAUCAAAACAGACUGAAAAAGUGGAAGGGCCGAUUUCAUAAUUAACCCAUAAGGCGUGAAAACACGCAGGCCAUGGCCUCCGUCGGAUUGGGUCUUCGGGUUCGUGCAAAACAACGCCGUUUUGGCACCUGAGACCAAGGCCCAAAACGACGCCGUAUGGUUGCCUUUUAAAUGUUAAAAUUUCAACAAAAAUUCAUUCUUUCACCCCUUUUUUACAAAAAAAAAAUUUACUUCCAUUCUCUCUCUCUCUGGGCCGAACCCAGAAAUCAAUCAGGAAGGUUGCCGGUGACCAUUCUCAGCACCACCGCCACACAGUCGUAGACGGUGGUCGUAGGUGCACCAAACCGGUCCUAAAGCCUUCCUUUGUUUUGCAGACCCGAUUUUAGGUGCCUUCAACCAAAAAUAGUGAAAAAAUGGAAAGAAAUAAAUAGAGACCAACUUCGUUUCCCCUUUUAAACUCUCGUCGGAAACCCGACGAGUUGCGGAAUAACCAGAAGCAGCCUUUUUUGUUUAUUUUCUUUAGCCUUAAAAAAUAAAGAACAAGAAUAACGAAAAAAAUAAUAAAGGAUCACCUUUUAGCAAUUUUAACUUCUGUUUUCUAUUGAUUUUUGUUGUUUUUUUGAGUUUUUUCAAAUCUCUGUAAAAAGUUACAAUCCGGUCUCGGGCCUUAUAUAGCCGAAAAUAUAAGCGACUACUUUACUACUAUUUAAUCACUGUUCGCGUUGCUCUAUCUUGCUGUUUCUGCUACUGUUUCCUUUUCUGCUUUUGUUUCUUCUUUUUGCUUUCUUUUGCAGGUGCACAACGGGUCAAUGGGCUGUGGGUGGUUGUUUUGGUGCAACGGAGGCUGAAUCUUGGACGCCGUGCGUGCCGAGGACGUACAUGGAGGCGCUGCACCCUAAGUUACUUGGGUUUUUUUUUUGUUUUAUGUUUUGGGCUGUUUCUUUGGUUAAGUUUUAGUUUUGGGCAUGCAAGAUUUGGGCCUUGUAUUUGGGUUAUUUAUUUGGGCUAAUGAUUUAUUAUAUAUGGACUUGAUGAUUUUGGGACUAUUUUAUAUUUUUGUUUUUUAUUGGUUUGGGCUCGGGCCGGACAAGAUGGGCCUGUUACAGAAUAUAUUUAAAAUCAUUGUAUUUUAAAUUUAAAUAUCAAUUUACCGUGUUUAUUAUUUUUAUAUAAAAGAUAUAAAAAGAUAAAAAUAGAGUUAAAAUAAU
rnacentral:lncRNA from 1 species